rnacentral:rRNA from 1 species
CAGAUGCUAAUACCGGAUAACAACAGAUGAUGCCUAUCAACUGUUUAAAAGAUGGUUCUGCUAUCACUCUUGGAUGGACCUGCGGUGCAUUAGCUAGUUGGUAGGGUAACGGCCUACCAAGGCGAUGAUGCAUAGCCGAGUUGAGAGACUGAUCGGCCACAUUGGGACUGAGACACGGCCCAAACUCCUACGGGAGGCAGCAGGU